rnacentral:rRNA from 1 species
GAUGAACGCUGGCGGCGUGCCUAAUACAUGCAAGUCGAGCGAACAGACGAGAAGCUUGCUUGUCUGAUGUUAGCGGCGGACGGGUGAGUAACACGUGGAUAACCUACCUAUAAGACUGGGAUAACUUCGGGAACCCGGAGCUAAUACCGGAUAAUAUUUUGAACCGCAUGGUUCAAAAGUGAAAGACGGUUUUGCUGUCACUUAUAGAUGGAUCCGCGCUGCAUUAGCUAGUUGGUAAGGUAACGGCUUACCAAGGCAACGAUGCGUAGCCGACCUGAGAGGGUGAUCGGCCACACUGGAACUGAGACACGGUCCAGACUCCUACGGGAGGCAGCAGUAGGGAAUCUUCCGCAAUGGGCGAAAGCCUGACGGAGCAACGCCGCGUGAGUGAUGAAGGUCUUCGGAUCGUAAAACUCUGUUAUUAGGGAAGAACAGAUGUGUAAGUAACUCUGCACAUCUUGACGGUACCUAAUCAGAAAGCCACGGCUAACUACGUG